rnacentral:lncRNA from 1 species
UGGACUGCUAUUUUAACAACUCUGGCAAAACAUGCAAGGUUUCUCUUGUGAUUGCAUUUGAGGAAAAAUAAAGAAGAAAUAAGGAAUAGCAGUAGCAAAAGUAAGACACCUGUUCUCUGGAGCUGCCUGCAGCCCUGCAGGGAGGCGAGGGACCUGGUGUACCAAGGGAUGUGUGGCUACUGCGCUCUUGGCAGCAUCACUGGCGCUUGCCUCCCUGGUCUGCAUCACUGCCCUGUCCACGGGGAGCAAAGCUCACAGGGUGCACCCACGCAGCUGCUUCUCAAGUGAUAAGUAACCAUUCCUCAUUCAUUGUCAACUUAUGUAAAUUCCCAACACCCACUUUCAAUCCCCAUUUAGCACUUAGUUUGUUGUAUUUUACCUUAGUGUAAUACACAUGUACUUUAGGAUGAGAUUAAGCAGUGAUAUAAAGUAGCUGUGCCUUAUCCUAACAUUCAUAAUAUGUUAGAAUAUUA